rnacentral:tRNA from 1 species
GGGGAUGUAGCUCAGUGGUUGAGUGUUUGUCUUGAAUACCAAGGCCCUGGGUCCAUCCCUG